rnacentral:rRNA from 1 species
AAUAUUGGGCAAUGGACGCAAUUCUGACUCAGCCAUGCCGCGUGAAGGAUGAAGGCGNNNUGCGUNGUAAACUUCUUUUAUUGNGGCNGAAACCACCGAUUUCUAUUGGUGUUGACGGUACCCAAGGAAUAAGCACCGGCUAACUCCGUGCCAGCAGCCGCGGUAAUACGGAGGGUGCAAGCGUUAUCCGGAUUCACUGGGUUUAAAGGGUGCGCAGGCGGGCUGUUAAGUCAGUGGUGAAAUCUCCGAGCUCAACUCGGAAACUGCCGCUGAUACUAUCAGUCUUGAAUACUGUUGAGGUGGGCGGAAUAGGUCAUGUAGCGGUGAAAUGCAUAGAUAUGACCUGGAACCCCAAUUGCGAAGGCAGCUCACUAAGCAGAUUAUUGACGCUCAGGCACGAAAGCGUGGGGAUCAAACAGG